GGGCCGUUAGCUCAGUUGGCAGAGCACCGGAUUUUUAAUCCGGGGGUCGCAGGUUCGAUCCCUGCACGGCCCA
rnacentral:tRNA from 1 species